rnacentral:lncRNA from 1 species
UUUAUGUGUGUUGUCUUUGUUAAGAUGUAUUAAAUACUUGAACCCAACUAUUAAGAUAAUAUAAGUAUGCUUUUGAUUGCUUCAUGCCUAUAUGUGUUUGCUCGUGGUUGUUGUGAAUCCCUGUGUUGUGUGUGUGACUUCAUCUUAGGUACUUGUGAGACGCAAGGAUUAAAAAGGGGGAGAUUGAAGAUGUAUAGUCAAGACGGAGCUGUAGUAGUUCAUGAAGCACGACAUGAACUACGACAUCAGAUGAGGAUACAAGAAGCUGGUCGGGUGAGUUAAUGAGCAUUCAAGGAAGAAUUACUGAAGGAGUCAGUUUAAAGGAAGAAUUGGAGAAGAAGCAAUCUAACUC